rnacentral:misc_RNA from 1 species
GAUGAAGAACGCAGCGAAAUGCGAUACGUAAUGUGAAUUGCAGAAUUCAGUGAAUCAUCGAGUCUUUGAACGCACAUUGCGCCCCCUGGAAUUCCGGGGGGCAUGCCUGUUCGAGCGUCUCAGGGACGAACCCUCGCGCGGGUGUACGCGCGGUCGUGGCUGCGGUGGCGUGCCCGAGGCGGCGGCCACCGCGCUGGAAUCCAUGGGCGGACGCCUGCCGCGUGGCCGAGCGUGAUAUGACGCAUUGGCGCUCGCACGCGGCGAGGCUGCCAGCCCUGGCCCGUCUGUCGGGCGGGGGAGAGCAAGACACGUGAACUCCUCGAAUCAGGUAGGGAUACCCGCUGAACUUAAGCAUAUCAAUAAGCGGAGGA